UACGGGGGGGGCAAGCGUUGUUCGGAAUUACUGGGCGUAAAGGGCUCGUAGGCGGCCAACUAAGUCAUACGUGAAAUCCCUCGGCUUAACCGGGGAACUGCGUCUGAUACUGGAUGGCUUGAGAUUGGGAGAGGGAUGCGGAAUUCCAGGUGUAGCGGUGAAAUGCGUAGAUAUCUGGAGGAACACCUGCGGUGUAGACGGCUUUCUGGACCAUUACUGACACUGAGACACGAAAGCGUGGGUAGCAAACAGG
rnacentral:rRNA from 1 species